AAGGAAUUAGUUAAAUAAAUAUAAUAUUUGUUUGUCAAGCAAAAGUUGUCUUUUUAAAGACAUUCCUUA
rnacentral:tRNA from 1 species